CAACACGUCUCGAAAGAUGGUACUUUAGUGUCCAACAAAUUGAAGAUUUUACGGGAUUUCCAAUGACACGACUACCAUAAAAGCGUAAUGUUUGUCUGUCCGCCAUCACAUGAAGAUGUCAAGAGAUCACCAUUAACAAAGCUCAUAAUGAUCUGAAUAAGAUGUAGGCCUAUAACUAAGAAGUGAUUGUCCGCCACCAUCAUGAAGAUGUCAAGAGAUCACCAGUAACGAGCUCACAAUGAUCUGAAUAAGAUGUAGGCCUAAUACUAAGAAGUGUUUGUCAGCCACAGUCAUGAAGAUGUCAAGAGAGCACCAGUAACAAGCUCAUAAUUAUCUGAAUAUGAGGUAGGCCUAUAACUCAAAAGGAACCAUGUCAUCCAUGAAGCAGCAUCUAAGUCAACAGUGUCAGUUCGUAAGCAAGGCCUGAAUGAAUGAAGCCAGGCCUGAAUGAAAGAACCCAGGAAGAUUCAAGCUUCAAGCUUCGCUGAAUGGAGCGCUGACACCUGUUGCAGCCUUGGAAUUUUCAACAUAUGAACAUGAACAUGAACACAACUGAUGUUUGUACCAAAUUUGUUAUCAAAUUUUGCUUGAAAUUUCAACAAGGCUACGGUAUAUAAAAUAACGCUUGGUAAAUAUUGAAUUUAUCUGCCCAAAAAUGCAACAUGGCGUAUUUAACAAAAAGCAUUGCGAAUUUAUCCUUUUUUGCUCAAGUUUUUGCACAGUGUUGCCCAAAAUUUCAACAAAGCUUUAGCCUUGCGUAUUUUAAAAUUUUGCUCGAAUUUUGCCGAAGGCUACCUUACGUAUUUAUCAAAUUUUGCUCAAUUUUGCUCAAAUUAUGCCCAAAAGUGCAACAAGGCUAUAGCCUUGCGUAUUUAUCAAAUUUUGCCUGAAAAUUCAACAAGGCUUUAUUUUGCUCAAAUCUUGCUCGAAAAAAUCAACAAGGCUAUAUAGCAUUGCAUAUUAUUUAUCCAUGUUUAGCCUGAAAAUUCAACAUGGCUUCAUUUUGCUCAAUUUUUGCCCUGAAGGGCAACAAGGCUUGCGUAUUUAUCAAGUUUUGCCUGAAAAUUCAACAAGGCUUUGUUUUGCUCAAAUCUUGCUCGAAAAAUCAACAAGGUUAUAGCCUUGCGUAUUUAUCGAACUUUGCAUGAAAAUUCAACAAAGCUUUAUUUUGCCCAAAAGUGCAACAAGGCUAUAUAUAGCCUUGCGUUUUUAUCAAAUUUUGCCAGAAAAUUCAACAAGG